UACGUAGGGUGCGAGCGUUAAUCGGAAUUACUGGGCGUAAAGCGUGCGCAGGCGGUGAUGUAAGACAGAUGUGAAAUCCCCGGGCUCAACCUGGGACCUGCAUUGUGACUGCAUCGCUGGAGUGCGGCAGAGGGGGAUGGAAUUCCGCGUGUAGCAGUGAAAUGCGUAGAGAUCGGAAAGAACACCAACGGCGAAAGCACUCUGCUGGGCCGACACUGACACUGAGAGACGAAAGCUAGGGGAGCGAAAUGGG
rnacentral:rRNA from 1 species